rnacentral:rRNA from 1 species
UACGUAGGGUGCGAGCGUUAAUCGGAAUUACUGGGCGUAAAGCGUGCGCAGGCGGUUUUGCAAGCCGGAUGUGAAAUCCCCGGGCUUAACCUGGGAAUGGCAUUUGGGACUGCAAGGCUGGAGUGCGGCAGAGGAGACUGGAAUUUCUGGUGUAGCAGUGAAAUGCGUAGAUAUCAGGAGGAACACCGAUGGCGAAGGCAGGUCUCUGGGCUGACACUGACGCUCAUGCACGAAAGCGUGGGGAGCAAACAGG